rnacentral:rRNA from 1 species
CCUUAUAGUGGGGGAGUAGCCUUUCGAAAGGAAGAUUAAUACCGCAUAAGAUUGUAGUAUCGCAUGAUAUAGCAAUUAAAGGAAGCAAUCCGCUAUAAGAUGGACCCGCGUCGCAUUAGCUAGUUGGUGAGGUGAUGGCUCACCAAGGCGACGAUGCGUAGCCGACCUGAGAGGGUGAUCGGCCACAUUGGGACUGAGACACGGCCCAGACUCCUACGGGAGGCAGCAUG